AACAGAAAAACAUUUUGAAGGCAAAAUGUUUGUUCCAUUCAUCUGGGAGAGCAACCAGCCAGAGUGGUGGAGGGUGAAGAAAGAACCCUUCUUACCAGGAGUGAUCAGAGACCUGGACUGAACCGGCUGCUGCUUUGUAAUCAGUGGUGCUGUGAUGAGUUCAACAAGCUGGCUUGUGAUUUUUAAUAAACCACCUGGAGAUGAGGAGAGACCCAGAGGCAUAAAAUGGAACAAACAG